GGUUUUAUCGUCUAGUGGUUAGGACGUUCGGUUUUGAAAUAUACUUUCCGAUCCGAACGACCUGGGUUCGAGCCCCAGUAAGACCU